rnacentral:rRNA from 1 species
UACGGGGGGUGCAAGCGUUAUCCGGAUUCACUGGGUUUAAAGGGAGCGUAGGUGGGUCUGUAAGUCAGUGGUGAAAUCUCCGGGCUUAACCCGGAAACUGCCAUUGAUACUAUAGGUCUUGAAUUUUCUGGAGGUCAGCGGAAUAUGUCAUGUAGCGGUGAAAUGCUUAGAUAUGACAUAGAACACCGAUUGCGAAGGCAGCUGACUACAGGAACAUUGACACUGAGGCUCGAAAGCGUGGGGAUCAAACAGG